UAGCGCGCUACGGUUACUGUGCGCGCGAUUCCGUGGGCGGUUGCUAAUGCGAUGACGCUGGCCCUCACUUAGAGUACUGGGUUCAGCUCUAGUCGGUACAUUUGAGGAAAGUCAAGGCCAUGGAAAAAGUGCUGAAAAGAUUUAUCAGAAUAGUUCCAGGGAUAGGGAACUAUGCUGGAAGACUGGAGAAGCGAAAGCUGCAUUCCUGAGAGGGAGAUUUUAAGGACAACUUUGACAGAAGCAUUGGCCAGAAUAUCUUCACUUCCCCAGGACUUACUUUGGCACGGGAGCAGGUGGAGACUCGUGCUGAAUGCUGUUCCUUUGAAGUCAACAGCCAUCUUCCUUUGUACUUCGCCCAAAACAUCAUUCCUGAUGCUAGAGUCGGUGAACCUGAGUCCAUUUCAAUCUGGCAGUAGAAUAUAUUUGAACCAAACUCUUUCUUCAAAAGUGCAAUUUUGUACACUUUCUAGCAUGCCUCACAUGAGUAUGAUCCAAAGAAGGAAGACUCCUUUUCUUUUGGUCAAUCCAAGGGUUAUGGACAGCGUGAGAAAGAACUAUGGGAAAAUCCUGUCCUCUUCCGUACUGUACAUAACCAUUAUGCUUUUUCAUGUGUAUUUUAAUCCCAAAUUUUGUGGACAAUUUGAAUAACCUGCAGUAAGUGUUUCAUAGUUUUGAACAAAGGGGAUUAUUUAUUCACAUUUCAAAAGUCUGAUACGUUGCCUCUGACUCGUAAAAUCUCACACACAAACACGCUCAAGGCAAGUAGUUAAAGAGAAUCGUACACUUUUACAAGGAAUAGUUUGUAGUUCACAUGAUUGGCUUGCCUUAGAAGGCACACAUUGCAGACCUGACAAGACAUUUUCAUUUCUGAAGUGCAGUCUGGGCGUGAAUUCAUGUCCCAAGUUACAUAUCAGUGUCAUUGCAAGAUUCUCUCGAAGAGAUAAACUAUCCGUCCAAUACAUAGUUAGUUCCUAAUAGUCAUUCAGAAAGCUGGUUUGCUGAAUUGGUGGACUUGAGUGGAAGCAGCUCCGGAGACCUUGAGUUGUACUGUCUGUUUCUUGAGACAUGGGUUUUGCUGCUGUUAUUACUGCUGCUGUCUCUCAGUAACCAGCACUUGAAGCUUUGAAAAAGGAGGGAAACUGGCCUGCCUUACUAAAUGGUUUACCACAGUCCCAAUUCCCAAAUAUGAUGUUGGGGUUUAAGUUAAUUAGCCACAACCUUGGUUAUUAUUUGAAGAUGUUUAUUCUUCAGGCUUUGAGACAAUCAUUGUUUCAGAAUGACCUAUUUAAGUCAGGAAAUAACGUUUGGAUGGUCUUAGGAGAUGGAUAGUGACAGAUCUUGGACUGAUUCUUGACCUUUACUUUGUCUCCUGUUUGCAACCUUUACAACUAUCAUUAUUAUAUGACACCUUUGAUUUCUUGCUCUCUAAAACUUUUCCUCUUCUUUUUUUUGUUCCACUUGCCCCUUCCCUCUUUUUCAACAACAAGAGUUAUGUUGGAUUUGAAACAAUAACUUUGAAUCUCUCUCUACAUGUACUGCUGGACCUUCAGAGUUUCUCCAGCACUGUUUCUUUAUCUUAAAGAUCACCACGCCAGUGUCUGCAGUAUUUUGCAUUUGUCAUUU